UGUAGCAAUACAAGGCAUACGGCUCAGUAACGCGUAGUCAACCUACCUUAUGGACGGGGAUAACCUCGGGAAACUGAGAAUAAUACCCGAUAGAACAUAAUUCCUGGAAUGGUUUAUGUUUCAAAUAAUUUAUUGCCGUAGGAUGGGACUGCGGCCUAUCAGUUUGUUGGUGAGGUAAUGGCCCACCAAGACUAUUACAGGUACGGGCUCUGAGAGGAGUAGCCCGGAGAUGGGUACUGAGACACGGACCCAGGCCCUAUGGGGCGCAGCAGGCGAGAAAACUUUGCAAUGUGCGAAAGCACGACAAGGUUAAUCCGAGUGGUUUCUGCUAAAGGAACCUUUUGACAGUCCUAGAAACACUGUUGAAUAAGGGGUGGGCAAGUUCUGGUGUCAGCCGCCGCGGUAAAACCAGCACCUCAAGUGGUCAGGAUGAUUAUUGGGCCUAAAGCAUCCGUAGCCUGCUUUGUAAGUUUUCGGUUAAAUCCAUACGCUCAACGUAUGGGCUGCCGGGAAUACUGCAAAGCUAGGGAGUGGGAGAGGUAGACGGUACUCGGUAGGAAGGGGUAAAAUCCUUUGAUCUAUUGAUGACCACCUGUGGCGAAGGCGGUCUACCAGAACACGUCCGACGGUGAGGGAUGAAAGCUGGGGGAGCAAACCGGAUUAGAUACCCGGGUAGUCCCAGCUGUAAACUAUGCAAACUCGGUGAUGCAUUGGCUUGAUGCCAAUGCAGUGCCGCAGGGAAGCCGUUAAGUUUGCCGCCUGGGAAGUACGUACGCAAGUAUGAAACUUAAAGGAAUUGGCGGGGGAGCACCACAAGGGGUGAAGCCUGCGGUUCAAUUGGA
rnacentral:rRNA from 1 species